rnacentral:rRNA from 1 species
CCUACGGGUGGCAGCAGUGGGGAAUAUUGCGCAAUGGGCGAAAGCCUGACGCAGCGACGCCGCGUGAGGGAUGAAGGUCUUCGGAUCGUAAACCUCUGUCAGCAGGGAAGAACGGUCACUGUGCUAAUCAGCAGUGAAUUGACGGUACCUGCAAAGGAAGCACCGGCUAACUCCGUGCCAGCAGCCGCGGUAAUACGGAGGGUGCGAGCGUUAAUCGGAAUUACUGGGCGGAAAGCGCACGUAGGCGGUAAGUCAAGGCAAGGGGGAAAUCCCCGCGCUCAACGUGGGAACUGCCUUUGAAACUGGCAAACUGGAGUGUGGGAGAGGAUAGUGGAAUUCCAGGUGUAGGGGUGAAAUCCGUAGAUAUCUGGAGGAACAUCAGUGGCGAAGGCGACUAUCUGGCACAUAACUGACGCUGAGGAGCGAAAGCGUGGGUAGCAAACAGGAUUAGAUACCCUAGUAGUC